UACGAGGGGGGCGAGCGUUGUUCGGAAUUAUUGGGCGUAAAGGGUGCGUAGGCGGUUUGGUAAGUCUGAUGUGAAAUCUAUGGGCUCAACUCCAGAACUGCCUUUGAUACUGAAGAUCUUGAGUUCGGGAGAGGUGAGUGGAACUGCGAGUGUAGAGGUGAAAUUCGUAGAUAUUCGCAAGAACACCAGUGGCGAAGGCGGUCUGCUGGGCCAAGACUGACGCUGAGGCGCGACAGCGUGGGGAGCAAACAGG
rnacentral:rRNA from 1 species